AUCAUCUCUCAGCCUUUUGGCUGAGAUCAAGUGUAAUGUCUGUUCUUAUCAGUUCAAUAUCUGAUAUGUCCUCUGUAAGGACAACACCUUACAUGGAUUUUUGGAACAGGGAGUUGGAAUAGGAACUUGCUCUGUCCACUCCAUGCUUCAACCUGGUACUGUAGUACUUUCAGGUAUAGUGUACCCUCU